GGCUUACCAACCCGAUGCAAACUACGAAUACCGAAGAAUGUUAUCACGGGAGACACACGGCGGGUGCUAACGUCCGUCGUGGAGAGGGAAACAACCCUGACCGACAGCUAAGGCCCCCAAUUCGUGGCUAAGUGGGAAAGGAUGUGGGACUCCCAAAACAACCAGGAGGUUGGCUUAGAAGCAGCCAUCCUUUAAAGAUAGCGUAACAGCUCACUGGUCUAAAUAAGUUAUCCUGCGGCGAAGAUGUAACGGGGCUCAAGCCAUGAGCCGAAGCUGAGGAUGCCGUAAGGCAUGGUAGCAGAGCGUAGUGUG
rnacentral:rRNA from 1 species